GUGAAACCCACUUGCACCAAUCGGCGCUCGGGCAAGGGAGGUGUUUCGCUGGUCAAUGGGGAGAAAGGGGGCAAACCUAGUUUGAACCGGAGCUCCUUCUCCUCAUGUUCGGCACGGACUUCCAUGCAGCCGGUGGGACUCUGCGACUGUGAAGCCGACUCAUAGUUCCAGGGAGUCUUCUAGUGCUCGAGCCUCUCUACGGUGGAUAUCUCUACUUAGGUAGCACCAGAUAAAGCUCGCUUUUGGCAGCUACUAGCUUGGACUCAUAGCUCCUGGGUAGGGAGGCCCAGC